rnacentral:rRNA from 1 species
GAUGAACGCUGGCGGCGUGCCUAACACAUGUAAGUCGAACGUGAGAGACUAGCAAUAGUCUUGAAAGUGGCGAACGGGUGAGUAACACGUAGGAACCUGCCCUGGAGUGGGGGAUAACCACUGGAAACGGUGGCUAAUACCGCAUACGCCUGUGAAGAUGGGAGUCUUUGCAGGGAAAGAGCGAUUGCUCCAGGAGGGGUCUGCGUCCGAUUAGCUAGAUGGUGGGGUAAAGGCCUACCAUGGCGAUGAUCGGUAGCUGGUCUGAGAGGAUGAUCAGCCACACGGGAACUGAGACACGGUCCCGACUCCUACGGGGGGCAGCAGUGAGGAAUAUUGCACAAUGGGGGAAACCCUGAUGCAGCAACGCCGCGUGGAGGAUUGACGGUCUUUGGAUUGUAAACUCCUUUUCUGUGGGACGAGCGAGGACGGUACCACAGGAAUCAGUCACGGCUAACUACGUG